rnacentral:rRNA from 1 species
GCAGUCGCCACGGUAAUACGGAGGGGGCUAGCGUUGUUCGGAAUUACUGGGCGUAAAGCGCACGUAGGCGGCUUGGUAAGUUAGAGGUGAAAGCCUGGAGCUCAACUCCAGAAUUGCCUUUAAGACUGCCGAGCUAGCAGGUGAGAGAGGUAAGUGGAAUUCCGAGUGUAGAGGUGAAAUUCGUAGAUAUUCGGAAGAACACCAGUGGCGAAGGCGGCUUACUGGCUCAUACUGGACGCUGAGGUGCGAAAGCGUGGGGAGCAAACAGGAUUAGAUACCCCCGUAGUCCCUGUCUCUUAUAC